GCCGCCGUAGUCUAGCGGUUAGGAUGGCGGGUUGUGGUCCCGUUGCGGCGAGCCGCGGGAGGACCCGGGUUCAAAUCCCGGCGGCGGCC
rnacentral:tRNA from 1 species